UCCGUAGGUGAACCUGCGGAAGGAUCAUUAAUGAAUACAAGGACGCUCUUUUCAUCAAAGAGGUCCGACCUUCAUUAUUCUACCCUGUGCACUAUUUUAUAUUCGGCAGACAGUAGCUUGUCCCUUUGGGGCUUGCGGACCCUGCUGGAUUCACCUUUUAAACACUACAAAGUUAAAGAAUGUUACAAUUUAUAACCAAGAAAAACUUUCAACAACGGAUCUCUUGGCUCUCGCAUCGAUGAAGAACGCAGCGAAACGCGAUAUGUAAUGUGAAUUGCAGAAUUCAGUGAAUCAUCGAAUCUUUGAACGCAUCUUGCGCUUGCUGGUAUUCCGGCAAGCAUGCCUGUUUGAGUGUCAUGAACUCCUCAACCCUUCAAUUCCUAGUUGAAUUGUGAGGUGUUUGGAUCUUGAGUGUUUGCUGGCUGUAAUGAGGCUAUCUAGCUUCGUAUAAGUCUUAGCUCGCUCGUAAUACAUUAGCAUCUCAAUUUCGAAUGACUCGGAUUGACUUGGCGUAAUAGACUUUUAUUCGCUGAGGACACCUUUUUACAAAGGUGGCCGAGUUUCGAGGUAGAAGCUUCUAAUCAAAACUUUGAAGUCUACAUCUUAGAUCAGACCUCAGAUCAGGCAGGACUACCCGCUGAACUUAAGCAUAUCAAUAAGCGGAGGA
rnacentral:rRNA from 1 species